rnacentral:rRNA from 1 species
UACAUGGGGUGCAAACGUUGCUCGGAAUUAUUGGGCGUAAAGCGCGCGUAGGCGGUUAUCUAAGUCGGAUGUGAAAGCCCUCGGCUUAACUGAGGAAGUGCACCCGAAACUGGGUAGCUAGAGUACUAAAGAGGGUCGCGGAAUUCCCGGUGUAGAGGUGAAAUUCGUAGAUAUCGGGAGGAACACCGGUGGCGAAGGCGGCAGCCUGGGUUGACACUGACGCUGAGGCGCGAAAGCGUGGGGAGCAAACAGG